UACGUAGGGCGCAAGCGUUGUCCGGAUUUAUUGGGCGUAAAGAGCUCGUAGGCGGUCUGUCGCGUCGGCUGUGAAAACCCGAGGCUCAACCUCGGGCCUGCAGUCGAUACGGGCAGACUAGAGUGCGGUAGGGGAGACUGGAAUUCCUGGUGUAGCGGUGAAAUGCGCAGAUAUCAGGAGGAACACCGGUGGCGAAGGCGGGUCUCUGGGCCGUAACUGA
rnacentral:rRNA from 1 species